AGCGAACGCUGGCGGCAGGCUUAACACAUGCAAGUCGAGCGGGCACUUUCGGGUGUCAGCGGCGGACGGGUGAGUAACGCGUGGGAACGUGCCCUCUGGUUCGGAAUAACUCAGGGAAACUUGAGCUAAUACCGGAUACGCCCUUUUGGGGAAAGGCUUGCUGCCGGAGGAUCGGCCCGCGUCGGAUUUGCUAGUUGGUGAGGUAACGGCUCACCAAGGCGACGAUCAGUAGCUGGUCUGAGAGGAUGAUCAGCCACACUGGGACUGAGACACGGCCCAGACUCCUACGGGAGGCAGCAGUGGGGAAUAUUGGACAAUGGGCGCAAGCCUGAUCCCGCCAUGCCGCGUGAGUGAUCAAGGCCUUAGGGUUGUAAAGCUCUUUUAUCCGGGACGAUAAUGACGGUACCGGAGGAAUAAGCCCCGGCUAACUUCGUG
rnacentral:rRNA from 1 species